rnacentral:rRNA from 1 species
UACGUAGGGCGCAAGCGUUGUCCGGAAUUAUUGGGCGUAAAGAGCUCGUAGGCGGCUUGUCACGUCGGGUGUGAAAGCUCGGGGCUUAACCCCGGGUCUGCAUUCGAUACGGGCUGGCUGGAGUGUGGUAGGGGAGAUCGGAAUUCCUGGUGUAGCGGUGAAAUGCGCAGAUAUCAGGAGGAACACCGAUGGCGAAGGCAGGUCACUGGGCCGCAACUGACGCUGAGGAGCGAAAGCAUGGGGAGCGAACAGG